UUUGUAUCCAGGUGCUUUCCUCUGACUAUAAAAAGUAAUUGUGGAAUAAAGCACGGGGGUGACAGUUUCUACUGGCAGCCUUCUCAAACUCAUCUCGUGUGUGUGGGGGGGGGGUUAUUUUUUUAUUUUCUUUCAGUCCUCACUCCCCACUCAGGAACUGCUCAACUCUGCCUGGAAGAAGUGGCCACACCAGUUUACACUCCCCUAAUGCUGGAUGAGGGUGUGCAAGGGUAUGUCUUCUUGCUGUAUCUGCACUGCUGUCUUCAUGGGAUGGAGAGUGAUGGAGAGUGGCAAGCCUCCUCGAUGAAUGAGCCUUCCACAACCCAAGUUGCAAGGACACCACCAGUGUGACUGUCAGACGCUUUACAGACCUGACAGUAGCCCACAUGGAACAGGAGUUGGAAGCUGUGGCAUCAAGUGCAUGGUCAUAAUCCUGGGCAACUUGCCACACAACUGAGCCUCAGCUGUCCACCCAGGGAGGAACUGGUUGCUGCUUUUCGCUGUGGGCUGUGGUUAACUUCGAAGAGUCAACUGGUAAAAGCUGAGAGUAAGCAGUUACUGAAUGCUCUGUCCUGACUAAGAUGUCUACAGUAAGCCCCUCCAGGACUCAGGGAAUUGAGGACCAUUUCACCCUUGUGCCAGCCACCCAAAAAGAAGACAUCAGUUACAGUCUGUGCUGCCCUCAUUGGCGCACAGCCAGCCUCUCAGAGACUACUUAAUCCUUUCCCACCCCACCUGCAGAAGCCAGCAACUGUGAAGAAAUACACCUCAGCAUCCAUCACAAUUCCUAAGGACCCUCCCCAACGACCUCCCAUGGUCCCCCUUUCCUUGGGGUUGAGGGAGAGGUUGUCACAGAAGACUUCAAUAUCUCAUUCUCAACUAUAGCCCUCAACACCACUGAGUACAGUUACCUUCUUUUUUGGGGGUGGGGGUGUCGAGACACAGACAGGGCAGCCCUGGCUCCCCUAGGCUCCCUUUGUAGACCAGGCUGGCCUCAACUUAGAGAUCCACAUGCUUCUACCUGAGUGCUGGGAUUACAGGCAUGUGGCACCACAGUGGGCAGAGUGCAGUUGUUUUUUGACCUGCCUGUGAGAAUGGGGAUCUCUCUCUCUUUUCCCUGCAUAUACUGUGCAACUGUCAGUCAAAGGGGGACCCAUUUGGAAACUAGAACUUCCUCUGAGGAGGAAGACCUGAAGACAGUAAUAAUCCCAUGUAACCCCGGGGGAAACAGCCACAAAGCAAUGGUUACCAUCAUGCCCAGAUCCCACGCUAACAUUUGGAGAGAGGAAAAAAGGUCUUUAGAAGCCCCCUACUUACAAAAUGGGGGAGUUGUUAAUUUAACUUUUCCAUGCCCUGCCGAGAAACACAGACCAACCAAUCAGAAUGUCUGUUUCCUCUCUAUCUGAAAAUGGCUGUGAAGGUUUUCAGCUGUUAGGAACUAUCCAGUUUGGGGGUGGUUUGGUUUUGGUUUCGUUUUCCUGAAACAGAGUCUCCCUUUGUGGUCAAGACUGGAUCUUCCUGCCAGGGUUACAGAUGUGUGCCCCCACACUGGGGCAUAGCUUCUGUUCUUCUAAUCAGCAAAUGUGAUGUUAAUUGCAAUUAAUAUGUAUCCAAAAUAAAGA